CGCAGUGUGGAGCAGAUGGUAGCUCGGUGGGCUCAUAACCCUCAGGUCACGGGUUCGAGUCCCGUCACUGCAACAA
rnacentral:tRNA from 1 species